GCCUGGAAAUACCGAUCCCAGCCUGCAUUGCAACAGAAAGUCAAUAACUUCGUUUCUAAUGUUGGAAAAUUUCCCUGAAACAAGCAUGAUGAAACAGGAUGUGCGGCCCAAUAAAAUUCCCCAAGGGCAGUCUUCCAGAAGGCCAUCACCGGACCCAAAGAUGCUGAUCAGAAUCUCCCAAGGAGGCUCUCAAAACUCCGAUACCAAAAAGAAUAGACUUUUCAUUUUCUGGGUUCACUGUUGUGAAUAUUGCCCAGGGCUUACAAAGAGAAGGGCUUUACACUAGAAGGCUCUCUCUUACUAAAAGCAGCUAUACAUGUGGACUAUUAAAUUUUCCAGUUUACUAAAGGCCAGGACUACACGGUCCAAUGCAAGAACUGCCAGCGACAUGUGCCACUGAGCACCUGAAAUGUGGCCAGCCCAAACCGAGCACGCUGUAAGUCACACGCACCCUGGAUUUUGAACACUUAGUACCAAUGAAAGAAGAGCUCACAUUCUAUUUCUACUGGACAGUGCUGGGCAAGGGCACUGGAAUAACAAUGUGGAAAAAGCACAAACUCUAAAGUCAAGUCUACAUCUGCACUCAAGUUCUCCCGCUUAUGAUCUCCAGAUUAUAGGAGAUGCUCAACACAGCUCCUGAACAUUCUAAAUAGCAGGAAAAUGUCCACACUGUAGGACAGAAAAAACCGGCAGAUCUUACAUCGCAGAGUGCCCUGCGGGGAAGGAGGCCUCCACGGUAGAGCUGUUCACCCACCU